rnacentral:rRNA from 1 species
AUUGAACGCUGGCGGCAGGCUUAACACAUGCAAGUCGAACGGUAACAUAAAGAAGCUUGCUUCUUUGAUGACGAGUGGCGGACGGGUGAGUAAUGCUUGGGAAUCUAGCUUAUGGAGGGGGAUAACUACGGGAAACUGUAGCUAAUACCGCGUAGAAUCGGGAGAUGAAAGUGUGGGACCUUCGGGCCACAUGCCAUAGGAUGAGCCCAAGUGGGAUUAGGUAGUUGGUGAGGUAAAGGCUCACCAAGCCGACGAUCUCUAGCUGGUCUGAGAGGAUGACCAGCCACACUGGGACUGAGACACGGCCCAGACUCCUACGGGAGGCAGCAGUGGGGAAUAUUGCGCAAUGGGGGCAACCCUGACGCAGCCAUGCCGCGUGAAUGAAGAAGGCCUUCGGGUUGUAAAGUUCUUUCGGUAGCGAGGAAGGCAUUUAGUUUAAUAAACUGGAUGAUUGAC